GAUGAACGCUGGCGGCGUGCCUAAUACAUGCAAGUCGAGCGAACAGAUGAGGAGCUUGCUCCUCUGACGUUAGCGGCGGACGGGUGAGUAACACGUGGAUAACCUACCUAUAAGACUGGGAUAACUUCGGGAAACCGGAGCUAAUACCGGAUAAUAUAUUGAACCGCAUGGUUCAAUAGUGAAAGACGGUUUUGCUGUCACUUAUAGAUGGAUCCGCGCCGCAUUAGCUAGUUGGUAAGGUAACGGCUUACCAAGGCGACGAUGCGUAGCCGACCUGAGAGGGUGAUCGGCCACACUGGAACUGAGACACGGUCCAGACUCCUACGGGAGGCAGCAGUAGGGAAUCUUCCGCAAUGGGCGAAAGCCUGACGGAGCAACGCCGCGUGAGUGAUGAAGGUCUUCGGAUCGUAAAACUCUGUUAUUAGGGAAGAACAAAUGUGUAAGUAACUAUGCACGUCUUGACGGUACUUAAUCAGAAAGCCACGGCUAACUACGUG
rnacentral:rRNA from 1 species